GACGAACGCUGGCGGCGUGCCUAAUACAUGCAAGUAGAACGCUGAAGGAGGAGCUUGCUCUUCUGGAUGAGUUGCGAACGGGUGAGUAACGCGUAGGUAACCUGCCUGGUAGCGGGGGAUAACUAUUGGAAACGAUAGCUAAUACCGCAUAAGAGUAGAUGUUGCAUGACAUUUACUUAAAAGGUGCAAUUGCAUCACUACCAGAUGGACCUGCGUUGUAUUAGCUAGUUGGUGGGGUAACGGCUUACCAAGGCGACGAUACAUAGCCGACCUGAGAGGGGGAUCGGCCACACUGGGACUGAGACACGGCCCAGACUCCUACGGGAGGCAGCAGUAGGGAAUCUUCGGCAAUGGACGGAAGUCUGACCGAGCAACGCCGCGGGAGUGAAGAAGGUUUUCGGAUCGUAAAGCUCUGUUGUAAGAGAAGAACGAGUGUGAGAGUGGAAAGUUCACACUGUGACGGUAUCUUACCAGAAAGGGACGGCUAACUACGUG
rnacentral:rRNA from 1 species